rnacentral:lncRNA from 1 species
UUGGCUUAGUCCCAAGUUAUAUUCCAUUUUUCAGGUUUUCGAAGUUAAACAAUUAAGGAUCCUUAAUCCUUAUUAUCCAUUAAAGUUUUACUUAUGGUUAUCCUGAUUAAAGGUUAGGAUCCUAACUUGGAUCCUCAGGUAUGAUCCUUAACUAUUUUUAAUUUCAUUAUUCAUUUGAAUAACCCUUAGACCUUGACAACUGAACCUAUGAUCCUUAAAAUAAGCUACUUUGAAAAUUUUCGAUUAUAGGAUAUUUGAUCCAGGAUCAUAUCCUAAAUCUCUUAAACAUAAUUUGCUCAAACAAACUUGUAUCAAAACAAUUGGAAAUAAAAAGGAUAACAACACAAGAU